rnacentral:antisense_RNA from 1 species
CUUGAUGGAGCCCAGCAGCAGAGGCUGCUCCGGGUUCCGGUCCCGGCCGUAGGUGGCCAGCAGCGCCUGCGCCUC